UACGUAGGGGGCAAGCGUUGUCCGGAUUUAUUGGGCGUAAAGAGCUCGUAGGCGGCCUGUUGCGUCCGCUGUGAAAGCCCGGGGCUUAACCCCGGGUCGGCAGUGGAUACGGGCAGGCUAGAGGUAGGUAGGGGAGAAUGGAAUUCCCGGUGUAGCGGUGAAAUGCGCAGAGUAUCGGGAGGAACACCGGUGGCGAAGGCGGUUCUCUGGGCCUUACCUGACGCUGAGGAGCGAAAGCGUGGGGAGCGAACAGG
rnacentral:rRNA from 1 species